GUAAGUUAUUAAGGGCAAUUGGCGGAUGCCUAGGAGCCAAAUAGAGAAGAAGGGCGUGCCAGACUGCGAAAAGCCACGGUGAGCUGUCAAGAAGCAUCAAGCCGUGGAUACCCGAAUGGGGAAACCCACUCUACGGAGAACUACUAAGUGUAGAUUGAACGCGGGGAACUGAAACAUCUUAUUACCCGCAGGAGAAGAAAUCAAAAGAGAUUCCCUAAGUAGCGGUGAGCGAACAGGGAUGAGCCCAAACCAGUGUAAUGUAAGGGGGUAGCCGUUGUUAUACUGGGGUUGCGGGAUGCAAAUAUGGGAUCUACUUAGUCCCAAUCGAAUGUGUAUGAGAUAGUGGAAUGAUUUGGAAAGGUCAGCCAUAGUGGGUGAUAGCCCCGUACACGAAAUUUCAUAUAUAUUUGAUAGUUGUAUUCCCAAGUAUCAUAGCACACGUGUAACGCUAUGUGAAUCAGGGUGGACCAUCAUCCAAGGCUAAAUAUAUUUGGUUACCGACAGAGAAAAGUACCGUGAGGGAAAGGUGAAAAGCACCCCGGAGAGGGGAGUGAAAUAGACCCUGAAACCAAUUGCCUACAAGUGGUAGGAGCAGAGAGCGAUCUCUGUGACUGCGUGCCUUUUGCAUAAUGAGUCAGCGAGUUAUUCUAAGUAGCAGGUUAAGCCGUUAGGUGUAGCCGUAGGGAAACCGAGUCUGAAUAGGGCGAUUAGUUGCUUGGAAUAGACCCGAAACCGGGUGAUCUAUCCUUGUGCAGGGUGAAGUUAGGAUAAUAUCCUAAUGGAGGCCCGAACCCACUUGCGUUGAAAAGCGAGGGGAUGACGUGAGGAUAGGGGUGAAAGGCCAAUCAAACCCGGAGAUAGCUGGUUCUCCCCGAAAUAUAUUUAGGUAUAGCCUUAGAUGAAUUGAGAUGGGGGUAGAGCACUGAGUGGACUAGGGGCCCUACCAGGCUACCAAACCCAUUCAAACUCCGAAUACCAUCUACAACUAUCUAGGAGUCAGGCUAUGGGUGAUAAGGUCCAUGGCCAAGAGGGAAAGAGCCCAGAUCCACAGCUAAGGUCCCCAAUACAUACUAAGUGGAAAAGGAUGUGAAACUGCAGAGACAAUUAGGAAGUUGGCUUAGAAGCAGCCACCCUUUAAAGAAAGCGUAAUAGCUCACUAAUCUAGCGGUUUUGCGCCGAUAAUAUAACGGGGCUAAGUAUGUAACCGAAGCUUGGGGGUUUAGUUUACUAAACCGGUAGGGGAGCAUUCUGUAAGUCUGAGAAGGUUGACCGAAAGGAAAGCUGGAGAUAUCAGAAGAGAGUAUGCUGACAUGAGUACGCGAUAAUGCGAGUGAGAAACUCGCACGCCGAAAACCUAAGGUUUCCUGGGCGAUGCUCAUCAUCCCAGGGUUAGUCGGAACCUAAGGGUAACCCGAAUGGGGCACUCGAUGGUAAGCAGGCAAAAAUUCCUGCACCGAAUAGGUAUCGGUACUUAAACGAAGGACAAAGGAGGGUACAGGAGCCACAUAGAGGCAUAUGUGGUUUAAGCCAGUAGAUAGACAGAUUAGGACCGAGAGAGGGCGACGAUCUGUUGUUGAUUUGAGAGGUGAUGAGGAGGACGAACUUAAGUAGUCCAUAAACUUCUGGAUCCCAUGCUUUCGAGAAAAGUUCGUUUAAGUGAUGCUUAUUUGUCCGUACCAAAACCGACACAGGUAGGUGAGGAGAGAAUCCUAAGGCGCUUGAGAGAACUCUGGUUAAGGAACUCGGCAAAAUGACACCGUAACUUUGGAAUAAGGUGUGCCUUAAUUUGUAAGUGAUGAACAUCAUAAGCAAGUCGAGGUCGCAGAGAAAUAGUGGUAGCGACUGUUUACUAAAAACACAGGGCAAUGCUAACUCGUAAGAGGAUGUAUAUUGUCUGACGCCUGCCCGGUGCUGGAAGGUUAAGAGGAAGUAUGAGGAUCAAUAAGGUUCGAGGUACUGAAUUGAAGCCCCAGUAAACGGCGGCCGUAACUAUAACGGUCCUAAGGUAGCGAAAUUCCUUGUCGGGUAAGUUCCGACCUGCACGAAUGGCGUAA
rnacentral:rRNA from 1 species